rnacentral:rRNA from 1 species
ACGCUCGACACCUACGUGAGGCAGCAGUGGGGAAUAUUGCACAAUGGGGGAAACCCUGAUGCAGCGACGCCGCGUGGAGGAAGAAGGUCUUCGGAUUGUAAACUCCUGUUGUUGGGGAAAAAGAGGAUGGUACCCAACAAGGAAGUGACGGCUAACUACGUGCUAGCAGCCGCGGUAAUCUGAGCGGGCUGGCAAGGC